GGGGAUUUUGCUCAGUGGCAUAAGCGCCUGCCUUGCAAGCAGGCAGUCCUAAUAAUCCCUG
rnacentral:tRNA from 1 species